rnacentral:rRNA from 1 species
UUGGAUGAGCUGCCGCGGCCUAUCAGCUUGUUGGUGAGGUAAUGGCUCACCAAGGCGACGACGGGUAGCCGGCCUGAGAGGGCGACCGGCCACACUGGGACUGAGACACGGCCCAGACUCCUACGGGAGGCAGCAGUGGGGAAUAUUGCACAAUGGGCGAAAGCCUGAUGCAGCGACGCCGCGUGGAGGGAUGACGGGCCUUCGGGGUUGUAAACCUUCUUUCAGCAGGGAAGGAAGCGGAAAGUGACGGACUGCAGAAGCACCCAGCCC